UGGGGAAUUUUCCGCAAUGGGCGAAAGCCUGACGGAGCAAUACCGCGUGAGGGAGGAAGGCUUUUGGGUUGUAAACCUCUUUUCUCAAGGAAGAAGUUCUGACGGUACUUGAGGAAUCAGCAUCGGCUAACUCCGUGCCAGCAGCCGCGGUAAUACGGAGGAUGCAAGCGUUAUCCGGAAUUAUUGGGCGUAAAGCGUUCGUAGGUAGCCAUUCAAGUCUGCUGUCAAAGACCCGGGCUUAACUCGGGAAAGGCAGUGGAAACUGAAUAGCUAGAGUGCGGUAGGGGUAGAGGGAAUUCCCGGUGUAGCGGUGAAAUGCGUAGAUAUCGGGAAGAACACCGGCGGCGAAAGCGCUCUACUGGGCCGCAACUGACACUGAGGGACGAAAGCUAGGGGAGCGAAUGGGAUUAGAUACCCCUGUAGUCC
rnacentral:rRNA from 1 species